CUACGGGCGGCUGCAGUGGGGAAUAUUGGGCAAUGGGCGCAAGCCUGACCCAGCAACGCCGCGUGAGGGAAGAAGGUUUUCGGAUUGUAAACCUCUGUCCUUGGGGACGAAGAAGUGACGGUACCCAAGGAGGAAGCUCCGGCUAACUACGUGCCAGCAGCCGCGGUAAUACGUAGGGAGCAAGCGUUGUCCGGAAUUACUGGGCGUAAAGGGUGCGUAGGCGGCAUAUUAAGUCAGGUGUGAAAUACUCGGGCUCAACCCGGGGGCUGCAUUUGAAACUGAUAUGCUUGAGUGUGAGAGAGGAAAGUGGAAUUCCUAGUGUAGCGGUGGAAUGCGUAGAUAUUAGGAGGAACACCAGUGGCGAAGGCGACUUUCCGGCUCAUAACUGACGCUGAGGCACGAAAGCGUGGGGAGCAAACAGGAUUAGAUACCCGAGUAGUC
rnacentral:rRNA from 1 species